CAGAGAUGAAGGCCAUAUGAUGAUAGAGGCAGAGACUGGGGGUGAUACAGCUGCAAGCCAAGGAAUGCCACGGAUUGCCAGCAACUCCCAGAAGCUAGGAAGAGGCAAGGAAGGGUCCCUAGAGCCUUCAGAGUGAGCAUGGCUCUGCCAAUACCUUGAUGUCAGACUUCUAGCCUACAGGACUAUGACAGAAUAAAUUUCUGUGGUUCUAAACUGCCCGUUUGUGGUAGUUUGUUUCGGCAGCCCUAGAAAACAAAUACGCCUUGUAACACCAGGUUUGCUGAUUCUAAGGAUACCUCCUCUUCCUCAUAGAAUUUCAAGGCUGCCUGCUGUGUGGCUGUUGAUACUGCAGGCCCUCACUCUUACCAGUAAGAUCCGCCUGCUCUUGAGGAAAGCCGGUGAGAAGCAGUAGACAGGGGAAUGACACCAUCUAUCUGAGGCACAGUGGCUCACAUCUGUAAUCCCAGCACUUUGAGAGGCCAAGGCAAGAGGAUCGCUUGAGCCCAGGAGUUGAGAUCAGCGUGGGCAACAUGGGGAGACCUCAUCUCCACAAAAAAAUACAAAAAUUAGCCAGGCAUGGUGGCAUGCACUUGUAGUCCCAGCUACUCAAGAGGCUGAGGUGGAAGGAUCACCUGAGCCUGGGAGGUUGAGGCUGCAGUGAGUUGUGAUUGCACCACUGCACUCCAGCCUGGGAAACAAAGUGAGACACUGUUUUAAAAAAAUCAUUAUUUUAAAAUAAAGUAGAGAGGAUCUUGUUUUUAUUUCCUCAAUUGAAUGUGGGAGAAGUGUAGGGAAACUGUGGAAUAUAGACACUAAGGAUCGGUGCAAGCUCCCUUUAAUAUCUCAAGAAAAUAAAAAUAAUUUUCUAGUUCUGUCUGUUUGUGCAACUAUAAGGUAUUUUUAGUGCAGAGUUUAGAAAGCCCAGCAGUGUAGAGAGUAUAUAUUUCUUUAUUUCCAAUAACUCAUGGGAACAGCAUGUACUGGUAACAAAAUAGCACUUUCUCUUGACUAGCAGCUUUUUUUUCCCCUGUCUAAAGGGCUACUAAAACCAUUAUGUUUUUUUCAAUGCAGGACAUCUUGUCCUUUCCCUGAGGUUAUAGUACUUGGUGCCUUUCAUGAUUUCAGAUGGUAAACUGCUUCCUAAGUGGGACUCUGUUCUUUGUCUAAGACAUUUUAUCUUUUCUAAAGCACAGUGUUCCCACCAUGACAAGUGCUAUUUAUGUGUACAUUAUCAGAGCUACACAAACAAUAAUUCUUACUUUUCUUGAAAUAUUUAAAACAAAACACUCAGUACAAAUUAAUAAAGAUCAGGUACUUUUAAUAUUUGUAUAACUGGGAUCUGUUCUUUCAGCUAAGAUACUCAUAAAUCUAGAUGCCAUUAUUAAAAAGAAGUAACUCGAUUUUCUGGACAUUUAAAAACACAACCUCAAUGAUUUAUCACAUAAAAAGAGAAAAUAAAACCUUGAGUUAAGGAUCAUAACGAAAGAAAGAAGUUGCUAAAAUCAUGACAGAGAGCUUGCCAAAGCCAUGCCUUCUGCAACCUGGUUAUUUCCCCUUGUAUUUUCUUCAGGUGUCUCAAAAUAAAAAGUAUUCGAAACUGAAUGCACUGUGAUUUAUCCUUUCUACCUUCCCACCCAGGUCCAUCCUUUCUCCCACAUUUCCUAUCUUGGUUAAUGAUUCCAUUGCCCAACCAGAGGCCUGAUAUUGUCCCGAACACUUUCAUUCUUAUUGCCCAGGUCUGACUGGUCAUUGCAUCCUGGUAGUUCUACCUCCCAAUUACUGCUUCAGCUCCUUCCUUCUUUCCACCCCUAUGUUUGCUCCCUG
rnacentral:lncRNA from 1 species